rnacentral:rRNA from 1 species
AUACGUAGGGUGCGAGCGUUGUCCGGAAUUACUGGGCGUAAAGAGCUCGUAGGUGGUUUGUCGCGUCGUCUGUGAAAUUCCGGGGCUUAACUCCGGGCGUGCAGGCGAUACGGGCAUAACUUGAGUACUGUAGGGGAGACUGGAAUUCCUGGUGUAGCGGUGAAAUGCGCAGAUAUCAGGAGGAACACCGGUGGCGAAGGGGGGUCUCUGGUCAGUAACUGACGCGGAGGAGCGAAAGCAUGGGUAGCGAACAGGAUUAGAUACCCUGGUAGUCCAUGCCGUAAACGGUGGGCGCUAGGUGUAGGGGUCUUCCACGACUUCUGUGCCGUAGCUAACGCAUUAAGCGCCCCGCCUGGGGAGUACGGCCGCAAGGCUAAAACUCAAAUGAAUUGACGGGG